rnacentral:rRNA from 1 species
CCUACGGGAGGCAGCAGUGAGGAAUAUUGGUCAAUGGACGAGAGUCUGAACCAGCCAAGUAGCGUGAAGGAUGACUGCCCUAUGGGUUGUAAACUUCUUUUAUAUGGGAAUAAAAUGUUCCACGUGUGGGAUUUUGUAUGUACCAUAUGAAUAAGGAUCGGCUAACUCCGUGCCAGCAGCCGCGGUAAUACGGAGGAUCCGAGCGUUAUCCGGAUUUAUUGGGUUUAAAGGGAGCGAAGGUGGAUUGUUAAGUCAGUUGUGAAAGUUUGCGGCUCAACCGUAAAAUUGCAGUUGAAACUGGCAGUCUGGAGUACAGUAGAGGUGGGCGGAAUUCGUGGUGUAGCGGUGAAAUGCUUAGAUAUCACGAAGAACUCCGAUUGCGAAGGCAGCUCACUGGACUGCAACUGACACUGAGGCUCGAAAGUGUGGGUAUCAAACAGGAUUAGAUACCCCUGUAGUC